rnacentral:lncRNA from 1 species
CCCUCGCGACGCGUAGGCGCUGGGGACCCACUGGGGACUCGCCGGGGUGCGCUCGGGUGGACCCUCCGCGGGCAGCAUCCCCUCGCCCGGGCCGGCGGCUGCAGGGAGUUCGGGCCCUCGGCCGCUCCACCUCAAGUCUGGGCGCUCACCGGACCAUUCAGCCGCUGCCUAUGGGGAUCCGAGAGUUUCCCGGCGGCGCGCCCAGGGGCAAGAGCAUCGCCAUUGGCAUGAGGAGGUCACCGGACGUCAGCCCCCGGAGACUGUCGGACAUCAGCCCCCAGCUCCGGCAGCUGAAGUACUUGGUGGUGGACGAGGCGAUCAAGGAGGACCUGAAAUGGUCGCGCUCGAUGGAGGACCUCACCAGCGGGCCCAUGGGGCUCACGUCCAUCGAAGAGCGGAUUCUGCGCAUCACUGGCUACUAUGGCUACCAGCCCUGGGCCGCGAGCUACAAAAGUAAGACCCCCGCCCCCACCCGACGUCAUUUCCCUGCCCCAGUCACAGUAGCUAGGGUAAGAAGCUCAAGCAGCAUCGUCCAGCACCCCUCCCUGCAGAUUGGCAACUUUGAACAAGAGGCCAGAAGAUGGUUGUCCCAGACCUUGGGGACCCCCUAUCCGUUCUCUUACGCCCCUCCCACGCCCACGCAGUCCUCUGUGUCCUCCUGUCCUUCCUCUGGAGGUGUUGCAAUAUGGAGGGCACCCCUGGUGUGGCUGACCUUGAGAACCAAACCGCAGCCUCAGGGAAUCAAAGCGCCCGGGCUGCUGAGCUUUCUUGGGGGAUCUGAGAGUGUUCCUGAGCUCUGGGUCAGCUCAACUGGCUGUUUGGAGAAUACAGACUUGGGCAGAUUUUAACUCUUCCGGGCGUCUCCUGAGCCGUGGUAGCUUCACUUUGCCUCAGUGAAGGGGUUCAGUGGAAUUUUCUAGAUACCGGCGCUGGUGCUGGGAAGGUGAGCCUCGGAACCUAUCAGACUUUCCUCUGGCGGUGGGAUUCAGCUGAUGGGUUUGGCACUGAUAUGAUCAGAUAACAGAUAUUGCCUGAGUGGCCAGGACCAUCUUGGUGGAUGUUUUCUCAGGUUGGGAGAGGGAAGUUGGCUACAACAAACUGCAUGUAAUGAUAACUAGGUGUUCCCAGCCUUGUAGUUGGACAGAGCCAAAGAGAUUGCUUUUCGGCCCUCAAUCGAUAUAAGAAAUGGGCAUGACUCACUUAUUUGUGAAUAGAAG